rnacentral:lncRNA from 12 species
GAUCUUUUAUUGAGCCUUAUAGUUUCUGAGUGUGUGAGAGUGAACAAGUAUAAGUGCAUGUAAACAGGGAAAAUGUCUGCAUUUAUUUGUCUCUGGACAAAGCUGCUCUCUCAGUGGCUCAUGGGUUACACCUGGUGCUCGCACACAGGCCCGACUCUCCUCACUGUGCGCCACGAGCCAGCAGCAUCCCACCCAACAGGGCACUCCCACCGAUCCCCAGCUGCUUUUGGCCUUGGCAGGCAGAGACUUCGUCAUGGUGAUCUAUGUCUCCGUGGCCCUAAGGCCAGAUUAAUACAAGGCAUCCCCCAAACCACCUGCAGGCUGGAGCUGCCAGGGAGGAGAAGUCUGACUGCUCAAGGGCCC